rnacentral:rRNA from 1 species
CCUGACGCAGCGACGCCGCGUGGAGGAUGACGCAUUUCGGUGUGUAAACUCCUUUUAUAUGUCAAGAAAAUGACGGUAGCAUAUGAAUAAGCACCGGCUAACUCCGUGCCAGCAGCCGCGGUAAUACGGAGGGUGCAAGCGUUACUCGGAAUCACUGGGCGUAAAGGACGCGUAGGCGGGAUGGUAAGUCUGAUGUGAAAUCCUACAGCUUAACUGUAGAACUGCAUUGGAAACUACUAACCUAGAGUAUGGGAGGGGGAGAUGGAAUUAGUGGUGUAGGGGUAAAAUCCGUAGAUAUCACUAGGAAUACCUAAAGCGAAGGCGAUCUCCUGGAACAAUACUGACGCUAAGGCGUGAAAGCGUGGGGAGCAAACGGGAUUAGAUACCCCGGUAGUCCACGCCCUAAACGAUGUUCACUAGUCGUCGGAAUGCUUGUCAUUUCGGUGAUGCACUUAACAGAUUAAGUGAACCGCCUGGGGAGUACGGUCGCAAGAUUAAAACUCAAAUGAAUUGACGG